GAUACGGCCAUAUCUACUGAAAACCACCGGAACCCAUCAGAACUCCGAAGUUAAACCAGUAUGAGCUUAAUCAGUACUAAGAAGGGAGA
rnacentral:rRNA from 1 species